UCCUUCGGGAGGGGAUUAGUGGCGAACGGGUGAGUAACACGUGGGCAAUCUGCCCUUCACUCUGGGACAAGCCCUGGAAACGGGGUCUAAUACCGGAUAAUACUGCGGAUCGCAUGGUCUGUGGUUGAAAGCUCCGGCGGUGAAGGAUGAGCCCGCGGCCUAUCAGCUUGUUGGUGGGGUGAUGGCCUACCAAGGCGACGACGGGUAGCCGGCCUGAGAGGGCGACCGGCCACACUGGGACUGAGACACGGCCCAGACUCCUACGGGAGGCAGCAGUGGGGAAUAUUGCACAAUGGGCGAAAGCCUGAUGCAGCGACGCCGCGUGAGGGAUGACGGCCUUCGGGUUGUAAACCUCUUUCAGCAGGGAAGAAGCGAAAGUGACGGUACCUGCAGAAGAAGCGCCGGCUAACUACGUGCCAGCAGCCGCGGUAAUACGUAGGGCGCAAGCGUUGUCCGGAAUUAUUGGGCGUAAAGAGCUCGUAGGCGGCUUGUCACGUCGGAUGUGAAAGCCCGGGGCUUAACCCCGGGUCUGCAUUCGAUACGGGCAGGCUAGAGUGUGGUAGGGGAGAUCGGAAUUCCUGGUGUAGCGGUGAAAUGCGCAGAUAUCAGGAGGAACACCGGUGGCGAAGGCGGAUCUCUGGGCCAUUACUGACGCUGAGGAGCGAAAGCGUGGGGAGCGAACAGGAUUAGAUACCCUGGUAGUCCACGCCGUAAACGUUGGGAACUAGGUGUUGGCGACAU
rnacentral:rRNA from 1 species